rnacentral:rRNA from 1 species
AGAGUUUGAUCCUGGCUCAGAAUCAACGCUGGCGGCGUGCCUAACACAUGCAAGUCGAACGAGAAAGUGGAGCAAUCCAUGAGUAAAGUGGCGACCGGGUGAGUAACACGUGACUAACCUACCCUGAAGUGGGGAAUAACCUCGGGAAACCGGGGCUAAUACCGCAUAACAUCGCGAGCUGUAAACGCUUGUGAUCAAAGGAGCAAUUCGCUUUAGGAGGGGGUCGCGGCUGAUUAGUUAGUUGGUGAGGUAACGGCUCACCAAGACAAAGAUCAGUAUCCGGCCUGAGAGGGCGCACGGACACACUGGAACUGAAACACGGUCCAGACUCCUACGGGAGGCAGCAGUGGGGAAUUUUGCGCAAUGGGGGAAACCCUGACGCAGCAACGCCGCGUGGAGGAUGAAGUCCCUUGGGAUGUAAACUCCUUUCGAUCGGGACGAUUAUGACGGUACCGGAAGAAGAAGCACCGGCUAACUCUGUGCCAACAGCCGCAAUAAUACAGAAAAUGCAAGCGUUGUUCAGAAUUAUUAAACGUAAAGAAUACGUAGGCAGUGCGGUAAGUCUGUAGUGAAAUCUCUGGGCUCAACUCAGAGUCUGCUAUAGAAACUGCCGUGCUAGAGUGUGGGAGAGGUGAGUGGAAUUCCCGGUGUAGCAGUGAAAUGCGUAGAUAUCGGGAGGAACACCUGUGGCGAAAGCGGCUCACUGGACCACAACUGACGCUGAUGCACGAAAGCUAGGGGAGCAAACAGGAUUAGAUACCCUAGUAGUCC